AAUUUCCUAAGAUCCAAUCAAA
rnacentral:snRNA from 1 species